rnacentral:rRNA from 1 species
CCUGACGGAGCAACGCCGCGUGAGUGAAGAAGGUCUUCGGAUCGUAAAACUCUGUUAUUAGGGAAGAACAAAUGUGUAAGUAACUAUGCACGUCUUGACGGUACCUAAUCAGAAAGCCACGGCUAACUACGUGCCAGCAGCCGCGGUAAUACGUAGGUGGCAAGCGUUAUCCGGAAUUAUUGGGCGUAAAGCGCGCGUAGGCGGUUUUUUAAGUCUGAUGUGAAAGCCCACGGCUCAACCGUGGAGGGUCAUUGGAAACUGGAAAACUUGAGUGCAGAAGAGGAAAGUGGAAUUCCAUGUGUAGCGGUGAAAUGCGCAGAGAUAUGGAGGAACACCAGUGGCGAAGGCGACUUUCUGGUCUGUAACUGACGCUGAUGUGCGAAAGCGUGGGGAUCAAACAGGGAUUAGAUACCCCUGGUAGUCCCACGCCGUAAACGAUGAGUGCUAAGUGUUAGGGGGUUUCCGCCCCUUAGUGCUGCAGCUAACGCAUUAAGCACUCCGCCUGGGGAGUACGACCGCAAGGUUGAAACUCACAGGAAUUGACGGGGACCCGCACAAGCGGUGGAGCAUGUGGUUUAAUUCGAAGCACGCGAGAUCUACAAUCUGACAUCUCUGAUCCCUCUAGAGAUAGAGUUU